GGAAGAGGAAGGGCAGAAUCAAGAGUCACCAGCCAGAUGCAGAGGAAGCAAGAUGAGAAUGUCUAACUGAGAAAAGAUACACCUUGAAACGCUUCAAUGGAUAAAGAAGUACAAUGUUAUUCAAAGCCUGAUAAGGCAAAUGCUGGCCCUGCCUAAAGCUAUGGGUUAGUAGAUCUGAGAGAAGAGUCUAUAGGAGCUCCUCACUGUAUUUCUGUAUUCCUAUAAAUUUCAUCUGAGUUUGAAA